GGAUGCUGCGAGGAGCCCUGAACAGGACAGAGCAGGUUUUCCACCCCAAGGGACAGACGUUGGCUGGUAGCGUCUGUGUUCAUGGAAGAUUCCUUCUGACACUCUCUCCUUUUUUGUAACUGCUGCAAACUCAAGCACUGGGCCAACAUAAAUCAUCCAGGGAUGAGCGCUACACACGGGAAGGUUUUCCUUUGUUUGUUUUCAAAGGGAUUACAUCUCUAUUCUCUUGCCAUGUGCUGCUUCACCCCCUGUCUUUGAUUUCUUUCUCUCUGGAAAAGGCAUUUCGGCUCACAGGACUGGGACUUAUAAAGGACACCCAAGAACAUCACAGAUGGGCCAAGCCUGGACCUCUCGCGGUAACAUUCCUUACGACUCUCAUAAGAGCCUGGAGAUUUGGAACUGGUGGCAACUGGUGAAGUUUUCAGUGUUUGGGCAGAUGAACCGAGCUAGCACGGGCUGGCCCUUGCUGAAAUAUGUCUGUGAAGGCCGAGGCUUCCCGACAAGAGGAUGCGUGUUAUCUCCCUUGACCGACUCUGCAUUUCCUCAUCCGCAGAUGAAGGUGUUGGCGAGGUAACCGAUGAGGCCCCAGCUGUGACCCUCUGUGUCUGUGGACUGGAGAAUAAGACCCCAGGGUGCUUUUAUCUCUUGAGUCCUCUUCAUUUUCUAUGUCCAUUUCCUUGAAGCCAUCAGCUGGAGUUGAGGAAAAGUUUUAAAAAUGGCCCUGACUUGGUGGUGAUCAGGGAGCCCGAAAUGGCCUUUGCCCGUGUGGCGUGUCGAAGGCAGAGCAGCGCCUCCUGGAGGCCACACGGCGCCGCGAGACUCUGAGAUUCGGGUUGAAUCACAGGAAGUAGCCGUUCCUAGAAGUCACGUGUGGUCAAAUGCCGGCAGUUUCAUGAGGUUCCCACUAAGAAGGGAUCGAGCCUGGCCACCCGCCCCUACCCAGAGGCCCCCCUUUCAGCGCCAGCCCUGGAGCCCCUCGCCACAGCGGCCGCGUCCUGAGGCAGCGGGGACAUAAGCCUUG